AUCAGUGGACCCCCAACCACAGAAACCAAAAUGAAAGCUGCAUUUUUGAUUACUUUUGUAAUGGCCAUCUUCGCUUUAACCAUGGCCAAUCCAUCGCCAAAUCCGAACCCAAUGCCCCAACCAAGACCUCAGUACUGGAAUUACGGGUAUGGAAUGGGAAUGCCAUACUAUGGAUUAGGUUAUGGGUACUACUUCUAAUUGAAAAAGCUCUUUUGGACAAGUUUUCCAAUGAAAAUAAAUAUUGUUUUUAUAUUGCUA